AAACAAACACAGAUCCAACCUUUAGGUGGUACCCCAAAGCUCCCUGGUAUUUCAAAGACCUCAGUGAAUGACAAUAGCUAAAACUCAAGCAAAACAAAGAGAAAUCCCUCUGCCCUACUGUAAUAAUUGCAGCCUAGAUGACAUCCCAGACUGGGGGAGUGAGGUUCAGAGCAAUCUGGCAGACCUUCAAGUCCCAAGCAUCUGUCUGCAACUGACCAGCCAUAUUCUAUCCUCAGAAGAUCAACAAAAGAUCCUUCAUUAAGGUGAAGAGACAUUGUGAGCUGACAGAGCUUUGGCUCUUGAUCACUAGCACAUCACGAGACCGAUUUAACAAACUGCCCUGCUUACCAACAGCAUUUGAUGACUUUGUCCCAUCUUUGGACUGCAAGUUUGCCUCCAGUCUCCAUGGGUACUGUGGAUACUACCAGCAUAGAUACUGCAGUUGUGAAAAGGAUGUUGAAUAGAUUACAGAAGGAAUAGAGAGUGAAAUGUAUU